rnacentral:rRNA from 1 species
UACGGAGGGGGCUAGCGUUGCUCGGAAUCACUGGGCGUAAAGGGUGCGUAGGCGGGUCUUUAAGUCAGGGGUGAAAUCCUGGAGCUCAACUCCAGAACUGCCUUUGAUACUGAGGAUCUUGAGUUCGGGAGAGGUGAGUGGAACUGCGAGUGUAGAGGUGAAAUUCGUAGAUAUUCGCAAGAACACCAGUGGCGAAGGCGGCUCACUGGCCCGAUACUGACGCUGAGGCACGAAAGCGUGGGGAUCAAACAGG